rnacentral:rRNA from 1 species
CCUACGGUCGGCAGCAGUGGGGAAUAUUGGGCAAUGGGCGCAAGCCUGACCCAGCAACGCCGCGUGAAGGAAGAAGGCUUUCGGGUUGUAAACUUCUUUUGUUAGGGAAGAGUAGAAGACGGUACCUGACGAAUAGGCCACGGCUAACUACGUGCCAGCAGCCGCGGUAAUACGUAGGUGGCAGGCGUUGUCCGGAUUUACUGGGUGUAAAGGGCGUGUAGCCGGGUUGACAAGUCAGUUGUGAAAUCCUGGGGCUUAACCGCAGAACUGCAUUUGAAACUGUUGAUCUUGAGUACUGUGGAGGCAGACGGAAUUCCGAGUGUAGCGGUGAAAUGCGUAGAUAUUAGGAGGAACACCAGUGGCGAAGGCGGUCUGCUGGACAGCAACUGACGGUGAGGCGCGAAAGCGUGGGGAGCAAACAGGAUUAGAUACCCCGGUAGUC